rnacentral:lncRNA from 1 species
GUAUUGCGUUAGCCGGCGCACGACGUUGACGUAAGCAGGAGCCCACAUUGCUUUUCAACAAUCAAAAAUGUCCAGGAUACGUUUGCGGAAGACCGAAAGAGCGCAGUGUGAUAUCAAAAAAUAAAAAGAUGCCGAUGAAGAAGUGAAACAAGGGAUUUCGUACGUGUAGCUCAAGCUACAAGCCUUUCUACAGCUACAAGUUUGAACAGAGCAAAUGUUGUUUUGUUGAUUGUUAAAACUAUGUUUGUAAGCUUAUUAUGUUAAACAUUUCUACAAUAAAAGAUAUUAUAGACCAUUUUGA